UACGUAGGGUGCAAGCGUUGUCCGGAAUUAUUGGGCGUAAAGAGCUCGUAGGCGGUUUGUUGCGUCGGCUGUGAAAUCCCGAGGCUCAACCUCGGGUCUGCAGUCGAUACGAGCAAACUAGAGUGUUGCAGGGGAGACUGGAAUUCCUGGUGUAGUGGUGAAAUGCGUAGAGAUCGGGAGGAACACCCGUGGCGAAGGCGGCCAGCUGGGCCGUACCUGACGCUGAGGCGCGAAGGCGUGGGGAGCGAACGGG
rnacentral:rRNA from 1 species